AUUUUGUGUUUCACCCAACCAGCAACCGAUAUCCAAUGACUGGUAACAUUUUGUGUUUCACCCAACCAGCAACCGAUAUCCAAUGACAGGUGACAUUUUGUGUAGAUUUCAUGUUAAAUUCACUUCAGUUGAGGACUCAAAGAAAUGUAAAUAGAAACUAGAUGUUGAACUGACGUCUGUGCCCAGUGGGCUGGUUUGAAUAAGCAGCAGGUGUUGGAUCGAUAUCCACCUUAGUAGCUAAAUUUCCAUGUAAUUUGAGACAGAUUUUCAUGUGAAUAUUCAAAAAUCUGCAUAAAACUAUAUAUACAUUUUCCCACCAGAAAUGUUUCUAUCAAACAGAUUUAUUGCGGAUUAAAGGCUUUGCGUGACAAAUAAAUAACUUUUGCUGUUAAAUUC